GAUGAACGCUGGCGGUAUGCUUAACACAUGCAAGUCGAACGGACUCUUCGGAGUUAGUGGCGGACGGGUGAGUAACGCGUGAGAAUCUGGCUUUGGGUUCGGGACAACCACUGGAAACGGUGGCUAAUACCGGAUGUGCCGAGAGGUAAAAGAGAAAUUGCCUGAAGAUGAGCUCGCGUCUGAUUAGCUAGUUGGUGAGGUAAAGGCUCACCAAGGCAGCGAUCAGUAGCUGGUCUGAGAGGAUGACCAGCCACACUGGGACUGAGACACGGCCCAGACUCCUACGGGAGGCGGCAGUGGGGAAUUUUCCGCAAUGGGCGAAAGCCUGACGGAGCAAUACCGCGUGAGGGAAGAAGGCUCUUGGGUUGUAAACCUCUUUUCUUAGGGAAGAACAAAAUGACGGUACCUAAGGAAUCAGCAUCGGCUAACCCCGUG
rnacentral:rRNA from 1 species